rnacentral:rRNA from 1 species
UUGCUGACGAGUGGCGGACGGGUGAGUAAUGUCUGGGAAACUGCCUGAUGGAGGGGGAUAACUACUGGAAACGGUAGCUAAUACCGCAUAAUGUCGCAAGACCAAAGAGGGGGACCUUCGGGCCUCUUGCCAUCGGAUGUGCCCAGAUGGGAUUAGCUAGUAGGUGGGGUAACGGCUCACCUAGGCGACGAUCCCUAGCUGGUCUGAGAGGAUGACCAGCCACACUGGAACUGAGACACGGUCCAGACUCCUACGGGAGGCAGCAGUGGGGAAUAUUGCACAAUGGGCGCAAGCCUGAUGCAGCCAUGCCGCGUGUAUGAAGAAGGCCUUCGGGUUGUAAAGUACUUUCAGCGGGGAGGAAGGGAGUAAAGUUAAUACCUUUGCUCAUUGACGUUACCCGCAGAAGAAGCACCGGCUAACUCCGUGCCAGCAGCCGCGGUAAUACGGAGGGUGCAAGCGUUAAUCGGAAUUACUGGGCGUAAAGCGCACGCAGGCGGUUUGUUAAGUCGGAUGUGAAAUCCCCGGGCUCAACCUGGGAACUGCAUCUGAUACUGGCAAGCUUGAGUCUCGUAGAGGGGGGUAGAAUUCCAGGUGUAGCGGUGAAAUGCGUAGAGAUCUGGAGGAAUACCGGUGGCGAAGGCGGCCCCCUGGACGAAGACUGACGCUCAGGUGCGAAAGCGUGGGGAGCAAACAGGAUUAGAUACCCUGGUAGUCCACGCCGUAAACGAUGUCGACUUGGAGGUUGUGCCCUUGAGGCGUGGCUUCCGGAGCUAACGCGUUAAGUCGACCGCCUGGGGAGUACGGCCGCAAGGUUAAAACUCAAAUGAAUUGACGGGGGCCCGCACAAGCGGUGGAGCAUGUGGUUUAAUUCGAUGCAACGCGAAGAACCUUACCUGGUCUUGACAUCCACGGAAGUUUUCAGAGAUGAGAAUGUGCCUUCGGGAACCGUGAGACAGGUGCUGCAUGGCUGUCGUCAGCUCGUGUUGUGAAAUGUUGGGUUAAGUCCCGCAACGAGCGCAACCCUUAUCCUUUGUUGCCAGCGGUCCGGCCGGGAACUCAAAGGAGACUGCCAGUGAUAAACUGGAGGAA